rnacentral:tRNA from 1 species
GGGUAUAUAGCUCAAGUGGUAGAGUGCGUGCUUAGCAUGCGUAAGAUCCUGGGUUCAAUAUCCAGUACCUCCA